rnacentral:rRNA from 1 species
CCUACGGGAGGCAGCAGUGGGGAAUAUUGGGCAAUGGAGGCAACUCUGACCCAGCAACGCCGCGUGAAUGAUGAAGGUCUUCGGAUUGUAAAGUUCUGUGAUGGGGGAUGAACAUAAUGACGGUACCCCAAUAGCAAGCCACGGCUAACUACGUGCCAGCAGCAGCGGUAAUACGGAGGGGGCAAGCGUUAGUCGGAAUGACUGGGCGUAAAGGGUGCGUAGGGGGGUUAGUAAGUUGGAGGUGAAAUUCCGGGGCUCAACCUCAGCGCUGACGGCAAAACGAUUAGACUAGAGUGCGGGAGAGGUAGGUGGAAUUCGUGGUGUAGCGGUGGAAUGCGUAGAUAUUAGGAGGAACAUCAGUGGCGAAGGCGACUUACUGGACUGUAACUGACACUGAGGCACGAAAGCGUGGGGAGCAAACAGGAUUAGAUACCCGGGUAGUC